rnacentral:rRNA from 1 species
UACGUCGGGGGCAAGCGUUGUCCGGAAUUAUUGGGCGUAAAGCGCGUGUAGGCGGCUCGGUAAGUCUGCUGUGAAAGUCCAGGGCUCAACCCUGGAAUGCCGGUGGAUACUGUCGAGCUAGAGUCCGGAAGAGGCGAGUGGAAUUCCUGGUGUAGCGGUGAAAUGCGCAGAUAUCAGGAGGAACACCAAUGGCGAAGGCAGCUCGCUGGGACGGUACUGACGCUGAGACGCGAAAGCGUGGGGAGCAAACAGG